AGGGUUUGAUUCUGGCUCAGGAUGAACGCUGGCGGCGUGCAUAACACAUUCAAGUCGAACGGUGAAGCUUCUUCGGAAGCGGAUCAGUGGCGGACGGGUGAGUAACGCGUGAGCAACCUGCCUACGAAUGGGGGAUAACACAGGGAAACUUGUGCUAAUACCGCAUAACAUAUACGGAUCGCAUGGUUUGUAUAUCAAAGGGAAACCGGUCGUAGAUGGGCUCGCGUCUGAUUAGGUAGUUGGUGAGGUAACGGCCCACCAAGCCGACGAUCAGUAGCCGAACUGAGAGGUUGAACGGCCACAUUGGAACUGAGAAACGGUCCAG
rnacentral:rRNA from 1 species